rnacentral:rRNA from 1 species
GAUGAACGCUAGCGGCAGGCCUAAUACAUGCAAGUCGGACGGGAUUCAGGAGCUUGCUUCUGAUGAGAGUGGCGCACGGGUGCGUAACACGUAUGUAACCUGCCUUUAUCAGGGGGAUAGCCUCUCGAAAGAGAGAUUAAGCCCGCAUAAAAUCACAGCACAGCAUUGUGUAAUGAUCAAAUAUUUAUAGGAUAAAGAUGGGCAUGCGGAACAUUAGCUAGAUGGCGGGGUAACGGCCCACCAUGGCGACGAUGUUUAGGGGAUCUGAGAGGAUGGCCCCCCACACUGGUACUGAGACACGGACCAGACUCCUACGGGAGGCAGCAGUAAGGAAUAUUGGUCAAUGGGCGGAAGCCUGAACCAGCCAUGCCGCGUGCAGGAAGACGGCCCUACGGGUUGUAAACUGCUUUUAUACGGGAAUAAACCCAGAUACGUGUAUCUGGCUGAAUGUACUGUAAGAAUAAGGAUCGGCUAACUCCGUG